AUAGCUUCAGCAGAGACAUCAACAGCAGGAGCUUUAACUCUAGCAGCAACACCAUCAUCAAGUCUAACAAUGAUAGAAGCAGCAGUGUGCAUAAAAACCUAGAAAUACUACAGACUCAACAGCAUUAUUACAGCAACACUAGCAGGAAUAACAACAGCGGUAUAGUUGAUAACACAGCAGUAGCAGCAGCAACAGCAGUAGCAAGAGCAGCAGCAGCAAAAGCAGCGCCAACAGCAGCAUCAAGAAAGUAAUAUCUAAACAGCAGCAACAGAUGCAGCAACAGUAGAGAAAGAUGAAGAGCUGCACGAGGAAAAGAAGGAAGUAGGAGAUGAGUAGGAGGUGGAAGUGGGAGAAGAAUAACAUGAAGAAGUAGGAGUUAGGUGGAAGGAGAUGUAGGAGGCGGAGGAGAAGAAGUAAGCUGUCAGCGAUUUUUUUGCUUGUUUGUUGUUUUAUUUUCACGAAGCAGACGACACCGGCAGUGAAUUGUCGGAGUUGAGCGAAGCCGGACAGGACCGAAACUGACCGGAACUAUAUCGGACAGGGUCGGAGAGAUACGACGACAAUGGCAUGGCGUUGAAACACCCCCCGCUAAACGAAACAAAACCUCUAAAAACAAACAAAAAAAUAACAAAAAAAAAAGAAAGAAAAAAGAAUGAAAAAAGAAAAUAGAACAAAGAAAAACAAUAAAUGAUGAACAAGAAGCCCUCCAGCUGCUACUUAUUUGCCUCCGCUUCUUCCCGCAGAGAGAAGAGAAAGGAGGAGAAAUGAAAGAAAGAAGCAUUUAGGGGUUAUACGGAGAGCGUGUGAUGUCCAAGUCACAAGGUAGACGAUGCAACAACUAUGAAUAAACAUCAA